GUGAAUCAUCGAAUUUUUGAACGCAAAUUGCACUCUCUUCGGAGAGUGUGCCUGUUUGAGGGUCAGCCUAAAAAAAAAUCGCCAUAGUCGCUGUUUCGCGGUGACAUUCGUCGGAAAUUGGUUCAUCUUAAACCUUUGGGUUUUAAGCGGCUUAAAAUUUUCUUUACGAUUCCACAAACGUUUCUAAUAUUUCCUUCUUAUCCUUUUAAGUAAUCGAUCUUUAUUAAACUUGCCG
rnacentral:misc_RNA from 1 species